rnacentral:lncRNA from 1 species
AUGAAGUGGAGCGUGCGGGGAGCCUGCGCCGCGCUCUCCAGCUGCCUCCUGCUCGCCUGCGCCCUCAGCGCCGCCGCCGUGGGCCUCAAGUGCUUCUCGCUGGGCUCCGAGCUCAAGGGCGAGCCCUUCCGCUUGGGCACCGCCGCCGGCGCCUUCUACUCGGGGCUGCUGCUGGCCGCCGGCCUCUCGCUGCUCGCCGCUGCGCUGCUCUGCUGUCGCCCGCCCGACGAGGCGCCCGUGGCGCCGGCUCCGGCACCGGCCCCAGCGCCGGCACCGGCCUCUGCUUUGGCCCCCGCCGGGGACCCGGACCCGGCCAGCGGCGGCCCCGGCGGGGCGGAGGCGGCGGCCGCGCCGUCGGGGCCGGUGGAGAAGGCGUCGCCCGGGGGGCGGCAGAACUUCCUGCUUCUGGGGGUGCUGGUGUUCAUGCUGGGCGUGCUGAGCGCCUUCGCCGGCGCCGUCAUCGACGGCGACACCGUGUCGCUGGUGGAGAGGAAGUACUCGCACUAUUGCCUGCUGCAGCCCGGCGGCGCGGCCCGCCCGCGGAGCGGACCCGCGGCCCCCGACGGCACCGCCGCGGCGCUCCGCUGCCAGAAGCUGCGGGACUACCAGCAAGGCUUGGUGCUCUCCACCGUUUUCAACGCGCUGGAGUGCCUCCUGGGCCUGCUUAACCUGCUUCUUGUCAAGAACUACAAGGCCGCGCAGCAGCGCGGACGGAGGCGGCGGCGGCGGCGAGCGGCCCCGGCCGCGGCGGCGGCGGGCGGGCGGCGGCGACGGCGGAGGGGCGGCGGCGGUGGGCGGCGGGCGCCGCGCCACAGCCAGGGCUCCCUCUUCUCCGGCGGCGAGCCCGAGCUCAGCCCCGGGGAUUGCCCCUUCCAGGCCGUCUCCUACAUCAACGUGGGCGUCUUCCACGUCUUCGACGAGGCCGGCGUGGAGGUGCACUGUGGCGGACAUCCCUCCGUCGAGCUGCCCGGCUACUCGCCCAUGGACCCCGAGCUCAACGCCUCCUAUCCCUACUGCUACCCUCUGCCCUGCGAGCAGCCCCCCGCCUACGAGGAGAUCUACCCCGGGGAGCCCUGCGCUCACGGCACCUAG